GUUUUCCCAAUGAAGUUAACCCCAAACCACACCCGUUAUUCAGAGGGAUGUUCUACUACGCACCCAUUGGCUAGCUAGCGUUGUCUCACUCACAGGCAAUCAGCGCAGACAGUGACCUUCCAAGCUGUUCCUGCACACAUCAUUUUUUCUUGAGGCAAUGCGAAGUUUGGUAGCCGAAGUCAACGCCCCUUCGUUGGUGAUUGGUCAACAGUACUCCUCCUAUGUGACGCUGGCAGUAGCCUAAACUAUGGGGACAUCUAGUGGUAUCUUUUUCCCUGCAAAAAAGAAGUGGCCAUUUGGCCCCAAAAAAUCCAACGAGGAACAUCUCUGAUACUGUCCUUGGAAUCUCUCAAAUCUGGAGUCCCUGGCUCCUACCAACUCGCUCUGACAGUAAUGUGCUGGUGCAGACUUGCUGUGCGCUUGUAAACCUCCAAGAGCCACUCAUCAGGGAAGUAGCUGUUGAUUGGGAAUCAAGAACAAACAAUGAGGCAUGAGAAUUGGGUGUUGAGGGGCCACAUUGUCCAAGUCCAACAGGAGUGCAUCCCUCAGACCAUCCGGAUCAUGGACAUCCUGUGACAGUGUGAUCCAGUUGUGGAGACAACUGCACAUCGAGCCUAUGGACAAACAGCUCAGUAACUCAUCAAAUAUGAUACAAUAAUGUAGAUGCAUCAACAUUUUGACUUUAUGCCCCCUUUUCCCCGUUGUCUCUCCCAUCCUGCAUUUACCAGAAAAAAGAAGCUCCACACAACAAAGGGGCUAUGAAAUAAUUUAAACAUGACAGGUUCCUUCCUUUUUCUCAUCUUAUUCAACUGUUACCAUGCACCUGCAAAAAAGAUAGCACAGAUGUGCGAGUGCCUUUUUGAAUUUUAAACUUUACAUAAUAUAAAUUCCCACUGUGCCCAUGAUAAAAUGCAAUUAACAAAAAUGUGAGGAUAUGCUACAUUACUGUUUGUGUAUGAACUAUGUGGAAUAUUUUUGGACUAUUGGUUUCCAUGAAAAUAGGUACUGACAGAAGGCGCAAUAAGAACACUGAUCCAUUUACCCCCCCCCUGCCAGAGGUUGUCAGGCUGGAUAGGUAUGGUGAUGGAGGCUUUGGUGGUCCACACAACGAAGAAGCAAGUGUGCCGUCCAGUGAUGUGGAGCUGCCCUUAGACCUGGUGCCAGUAAGGAUGGUCUUUACAGAAGCUGUAAGACCCUCCCUCCUCCUGGAUAUAGAAAUAUUUUGACCUCACUGCCUCUUCAAUGGUAAAAUCCCAUGCAUCAUAUGGACACUUGACCACCACUGCUCUGGUGCGCUCCAGACCAUCCGGUGAUGCCACCAGGGUCCCAGACCCUGUGACCCAAGGCCCUGACUCCUGCACAUCAAUCCCUGUAGCCAUUGAUGUCCUCCUAUUCGUUAUCUGUGCCCCACUUUACAGACAACACCCCGUCUAGCAACUGAUCUGAGGACCCUUUUUGGCACGCUUGGACCUAACCACUGCUCCAAAUUUGCUGGCCGUCAACCUCCCCCUCCUCAUGGUGUGCAUGUUGGGGUUGGUGUGCUGUCCAGCUAUUGCCUGCCGUAUAGCUUCCUGCUGCACCACCGAUAGUGCCAUGCCAGGAGGAUGUCUGCAUGCCCCAGGUGCCAUUGUUUUUUAACAAUGUCCGGUACAGACAGGAAGGGUAGCGGUUGUUCUUGCUCAGGUUCAAGGGGACAUGCCAUUCCACUGAAACUGCCCCAGAGACGGUUCCUUAGACACUGAAGAUAUUUCUCUGUGGGCUCUCAGGGCUGAGGGUUGUAGUCUUGGGCCGGAUACAUGUCCUCCACUGGCUCCACCUGGUUGGGCACGGCUGGCUUCCUCCACACGCAUUCCACAUCCGUUCAGCCGAUAUUGUGAACUGCAAAAAUAGCCAAUGCAUGGCUACACUUAUGAGUUCCACGGGGGCAUUUGCAUGUGGUAGAGAGAAUCCCCUGGUCACCUGUAGAGACCUGCCAAGAGGAAGGAUGUUAAGGGCCACUUUCAAUGCAUUUCAAUGCUGCCUUUCAAUGCAUGACUUUGAACACCUUGAAAUGCAUUUGUUGUAAGAAAUGUGCUAUAUAAAUGAACCCAGGAUCCCAGAACCCGCGACCCAAAAUCCUGACUCCUGCACAUCCAUCGCUGUAGCCAUUUUGAAUGCCUUGAUGCCCUCCUCUUCGUUAUCUGUUCCCCAUUUACAAACACCCCAUCCAACAACUGAACACCUUGAAAUGCAUUUGUUGUA